AAUACAGAGAGAGCUGGACGGAGAAAGUUUAUCAGGAGGUCUCUGAGCGGAUGGCCGCUCACAUAUACAGUAGACUGUAUAUAAAGAGGACAGAAGCAGUGUAGGGAGAAGCUGAAAAAGCUCAAAAGUGACUAUCGGUCCACCCAGGACCACAACGGCCGGCGUGGGUCAACCAGGAGGUGUUGGAAGAGGUUUAAUGGAAGCUAUUUACUGGCACCGCACCGGCGAGCAACAGGAGGGAGACUCAGCCGCUGCAUUGUUGGAGACGUUCGAGGACGAAUCCCUUUCCACAUGCGAAGCCUACUCCACCUCCGUCGCGGAGCCCCCGGCUGCCCUGUCUCCUCUCCACCACCAGCAGCAGCUCCUCUCCAGCACUAGCUCGGACACCGACACCAGCACGUCACAGCAACGUCUUAUCACCGGCAAGAGGAAAGGGGGCCACAGAAAAUUGGACCUUCCUAGCGUACUUGUGGAGAUGCAGGCUGAGGAGGAGUGGAGUCAUGCCCAGCAUGAUGAGAACAUCUGGUUGCUCCUCAGCGAGGCAAGAGAGAAUGAAGCUGGCCCAGAAUACUGCCUUCAACCAGUCAUUCCUGGGUGUGCUGGGGCAGCUGGGGUAGCUGGGUAGGCAGUGGGCAGCCGGCGAGUGUGAGCGAG
ensembl:lncRNA